AUAGGGUCGGAAAGUCUCGUUUACUUUCACUUUCGAUUUACUACUUCCGGGCAGCAGUCGAAAAAUGUCACUUUGUUUUGCGUUGGUUAUGCUCAGAUGACAAGUGUUAAAAUGAACCUACAGCCUAUAUAGAUUCCCUACUUAUGCAAAAAGAAGAAGAAGUGGAUUUAUAGUUGCAGAUGCUGUUAUAUACAUCAUUUCCUUCAGAAGUAUCAAUGUGUUGGCGGCUGUUAUGAAGAGAAUGGGGCCCAUUUUAAAAACUUCUAGGAUGGGCAGUACUUGGGUUCAUACCAGUGAUCAAUUUCUUAUGACUCUUAUGAAGUUGCACCUAAAUCUAAGGGAUCUACAUUUAGCAGGCCAGAGGGCUCAAUGCCGAAUUUACCUCUGAAAAAAUCGCAAUGGAUACAACAAACAUAACACUGAAUUUAACUUUAAAAUUGAAUAACUAGUCAUUAUCUGACAGCAACUACAUUGUGCAAAAUUUGUCACACAGCAAAGGCUAUCACUUGUGUAGCAUAAUUGUUCUGAAUUCUAUCCAGAAUCCACCUCUGAUGGUGACAUUGUUGAUCACUGAGGUGUAUUGGAGAUGUUGAAGCCAUAUGAUAUAUGAUUCUUGCUAAUAAAGGAUUUGAUAUAUUU